UCUCCGUUGGUGAACCAGCGGAGGGAUCAUUACCGAGUUUACAACUCCCAAACCCCUGUGAACAUACCUAUCGUUGCCUCGGCGGUGCCCGCUCCGGCGGCCCGCCAGAGGACCCCCAAACUCUUGCUUUAUACAGUAUCUUCUGAGUAACACGAUUAAAUAAAUCAAAACUUUCAACAACGGAUCUCUUGGUUCUG
rnacentral:misc_RNA from 1 species